CUAAGUACCCCGAGGAAAAGAAAUCAACCGAGAUUCCGAAAGUAGCGGCGAGCGAAAUUGGACUAGCCCUUAAGCUUUACACGCGUUAGACGAACGGUCUGGAAAGUCCGACGAUACAGGGUGAUAGUCCCGUAGUUGACGACGUGUGUUCAGUGAAAUCGAGUAGGGCGGGACACGUGAUAUCCUGUCUGAAUAUGGGGGGACCAUCCUCCAAGGCUAAAUACUACUGACUGACCGAUAGUGAACAGGUACCG
rnacentral:rRNA from 1 species